GACGAACGCUGGCGGCGUGCUUAACACAUGCAAGUCGAACGGAAAGGCCCUGCUUUUGUGGGGUGCUCGAGUGGCGAACGGGUGAGUAACACGUGAGUAACCUGCCCUUGACUUUGGGAUAACUUCAGGAAACUGGGGCUAAUACCGGAUAGGAGCUCCUGCUGCAUGGUGGGGGUUGGAAAGUUUCGGCGGUUGGGGAUGGACUCGCGGCUUAUCAGCUUGUUGGUGGGGUAGUGGCUUACCAAGGCUUUGACGGGUAGCCGGGCUGAGAGGGUGACCGGCCCCAUUGGGACUGAGAUACGGCCCAGACUCCUACGGGAGGCAGCAGUGGGGAAUAGUGUACAAUGGGCGGAAGCCUGAUGCAGCAACGCCGCGUGCGGGAUGACGGCCUUCGGGUUGUAAACCGCUUCCGCCUGUGACGAAGCGUGAGUGACGGUAAUGGGUAAAGAAGCACCGGCUAACUACGUG
rnacentral:rRNA from 1 species